UGGAUCCAGACUUUGAUCAUGGCUCAGGACGAACGCUGGCGGCGUGCUUAACACAUGCAAGUCGAACGAGAAUCUACUGAAAGAGUUCUCGGACAAUGGAUGUGGAGGAAAGUGGCGGACGGGUGAGUAACGCGUGAGGAACCUGCCUUGAAGAGGGGGGACAACAGUUGGAAACGACUGCUAAUACCGCAUGAUGCAUAGGGGUCGCAUGAUUCUUAUGCCAAAGAUUUAUCGCUUCAAGAUGGCCUCGCGUCUGAUUAGCUAGCUGGCGGGGUAACGGCCCACCAAGGCGACGAUCAGUAGCCGGACUGAGAGGUUGAACGGCCACAUUGGGACUGAGAUACGGCCCAGACUCCUACGGGAGGCAGCAGUGGGGAAUAUUGGGCAAUGGGCGCAAGCCUGACCCAGCAACGCCGCGUGAAGGAAGAAGGCUUCCGGGUUGUAAACUUCUUUUAAGAGGGAAGAGCAGAAGACGGUACCUCUAGAAUAAGCCACGGCUAACUACGUGCCAGCAGCCGCGGUAAUACGUAGGUGGCAACGUUGUCCGGAUUUACUGGGUGUAAAGGGCGUGCAGCCGGGUCUGCAAGUCAAAUGUGAAAUCCAUGGGCUCAACCCAUGAACUGCAUUUGAAACUGUAGAUCUUGAGUGUCGGAGGGGCAAUCGGAAUUCCUAGUGUAGCGGUGAAAUGCGUAGAUAUUAGGAGGAACACCAGUGGCGAAGGCGGAUUGCUGGACGAUAACUGACGGUGGGGCGCGAAAGUGUGGGGAGCAAACAGGAUUAGAUACCCUGGUAGUCCACACUGUAAACGAUGAAUACUAGGUGUGCGGGGACUGACCCCCUGCGUGCCGCAGUAAACACAAUAAGUAUUCCACCUGGGGAGUACGAUCGCAAGGUUGCAACUCAAAUGAAUUGACGGA
rnacentral:rRNA from 1 species